AUCGCUUCUCGGCCUUUUGGCUAAGAUCAAGUGAAGACAUCCAUAUAAAAUAUUACUUAGUGAACUAAUUUAGAAUUGCAAUUUUCAAAGAAAUUAUUCUCUUGAAAACUUCUAUGGAAUUAGCCAUUUUCUUUCUCAGAAGCAUCAAGUGUGGCAAAAACUUA
ensembl:snRNA LOC120095789 U2 spliceosomal RNA